UCGGGAAUUUUGGGCAAUGGGCGAAAGCCUGAUCCAGCCAUGCCGCGUGAGUGACGAAGGCCUUAGGGUUGUAAAGCUCUUUUGGCGGGGACGAUAAUGACGGUACCCGCAGAAUAAGCCCCGGCUAACUUCGUGCCAGCAGCCGCGGUAAUACGAAGGGGGCUAGCGUUGUUCGGAAUCACUGGGCGUAAAGCGCACGUAGGCGGAUUUGUUAGUCAGGGGUGAAAUCCCGGGGCUCAACCUCGGAACUGCCUUUGAUACUGGCAAUCUAGAGUCCGGAAGAGGUUAGUGGAAUUCCCAGUGUAGAGGUGAAAUUCGUAGAUAUUGGGAAGAACACCAGUGGCGAAGGCGGCUAACUGGUCCGGUACUGACGCUGAGGUGCGAAAGCGUGGGGAGCAAACAAGAUUAGAUACCCCCGUAGUCCCUGAGCGGGC
rnacentral:rRNA from 1 species